rnacentral:rRNA from 1 species
UACGGGGGGAGCAAGCGUUGUUCGGAUUUACUGGGCGUAAAGGGCGCGUAGGCGGUCGUGACAAGUCACUUGUGAAAUCUCCGGGCUUAACUCGGAACGGUCAAGUGAUACUGUCGUGCUAGAGUACAGAAGGGGCAACUGGAAUUCUCGGUGUAGCGGUGAAAUGCGUAGAUAUCGGGAGGAACACCAAUGGCGAAGGCAGCUUGCUGGGACGGUACUGACGCUGAGGCGCGAAAGCGUGGGGAGCAA